GGCCUUGGGUGAGUCACUGAGCCUCCCACAGCCUCAGCUUUCCCGCUUGUCAAGAAGGGAAAACAACAGUGUCCUCUCUUUGAGGCCUUUUCACACCAGUUGCCAGAUCUUGUUACCAGACAGAGCAGAUCAGAACUUACUGAAAACUAUCCCUCGGCUCCUGGUGGUUUCCAGUUUCUUCUCUGAAAGAGAGGGACCCUCCCAAGCGGGCCUCCAUCUUGCUUGCCUGGCAUUGUCCCCUCAUUCCAAUCAUGCGAAAUUCCCCGUGUCUCCGGAGCCGUCCGUCACGCUGCGUCCUGCCCCUGCCGGGACUUGAGCCACUUUCUCUGCCCUCCGCUGACUCGUACUUGCUUUUUCACUUGACAAAAACCCCAGAGCUUUUUUGCACCUUCACACACAGAGAGCUUCCGCAUUCUUUUCACAGCUUCAUGGUAGUCCAUCACGGGGACAUGCCGUAGGCUCAGCCCGUCCCACGCUGAUGGACAGACAAGGUGUUCCCAAUCUGUUCCUACCACAACAGUGCAGCCGUGAAUGCUCUUGUGCGCA